CUUAACACAUGCAAGUCGAGGGGCAGCACAGGUAGCAAUACCGGGUGGCGACCGGCGCACGGGUGAGUAACGCGUAUGCAACUUGCCUAUCAGAGGGGGAUAACCCGGCGAAAGUCGGACUAAUACCGCAUGAAGCAGGGAUCCCGCAUGGGAAUAUUUGCUAAAGAUUCAUCGCUGAUAGAUAGGCAUGCGUUCCAUUAGGCAGUUGGCGGGGUAACGGCCCACCAAACCGACGAUGGAUAGGGGUUCUGAGAGGAAGGUCCCCCACAUUGGUACUGAGACACGGACCAAACUCCUACGGGAGGCAGCAGUGAGGAAUAUUGGUCAAUGGCCGAGAGGCUGAACCAGCCAAGUCGCGUGAGGGAUGAAGGUUCUAUGGAUCGUAAACCUCUUUUAUAAGGGAAUAAAGUGCGGGACGUGUCCCGUUUUGUAUGUACCUUAUGAAUAAGGAUCGGCUAACUCCGUGCCAGCAGCCGCGGUAAUACGGAGGAUCCGAGCGUUAUCCGGAUUUAUUGGGUUUAAAGGGUGCGUAGGCGGCCUUUUAAGUCAGCGGUGAAAGUCUGUGGCUCAACCAUAGAAUUGCCGUUGAAACUGGGGGGCUUGAGUAUGUUUGAGGCAGGCGGAAUGCGUGGUGUAGCGGUGAAAUGCAUAGAUAUCACGCAGAACCCCGAUUGCGAAGGCAGCCUGCCAAGCCAUUACUGACGCUGAUGCACGAAAGCGUGGGGAUCAAACAGGAUUAGAUACCCUGGUAGUCCACGCAGUAAACGAUGAUCACUAGCUGUUUGCGAUACACUGUAAGCGGCACAGCGAAAGCGUUAAGUGAUCCACCUGGGGAGUACGCCGGCAACGGUGAAACUCAAAGGAAUUGACGGGGGCCCGCACAAGCGGAGGAACAUGUGGUUUAAUUCGAUGAUACGCGAGGAACCUUACCCGGGUUUGAACGCAUUCGGACCGAGGUGGAAACACCUUUUCUAGCAAUAGCCGUUUGCGAGGUGCUGCAUGGUUGUCGUCAGCUCGUGCCGUGAGGUGUCGGCUUAAGUGCCAUAACGAGCGCAACCCUUGCCACUAGUUACUAACAGGUAAAGCUGAGGACUCUGGUGGGACUGCCAGCGUAAGCUGCGAGGAAGGCGGGGAUGACGUCAAAUCAGCACGGCCCUUACAUCCGGGGCGACACACGUGUUACAAUGGCGUGGACAAAGGGAGGCCACCUGGCGACAGGGAGCGAAUCCCCAAACCACGUCUCAGUUCGGAUCGGAGUCUGCAACCCGACUCCGUGAAGCUGGAUUCGCUAGUAAUCGCGCAUCAGCCAUGGCGCGGUGAAUACGUUCCCGGGCCUUGUACACACCGCCCGUCAAGCCAUGGGAGCCGGGGGUACCUGAAGUCCGUAACCGCGAGGAUCGGCCUAGGGUAAAACUGGUGACUGGGGCUAAGUCG
rnacentral:rRNA from 1 species